AAAGAAAUUUCUCAUUUUUAAAAUAAGUUAUUAUUGGGUCUGGUGUGCUCUUAUAUGAAUAUCCAUAAUUUUCCUCAUAUUUAUUUAUAUUUUUAUAGAUUAAAAAGAUACUUGAAAUCCAUAUUUAUCUAUCUAAAAUAUAAGUAACUCAACUCACUAAAAUAUAAAUUAAAUGAGUUAAUUUUCUAAAUAUGGGCUCAAAUUACCCCCAUCUAAUUUCUCCCCUGAGUUUGUACUUUGUUGUAGCUGCCCAAGUAGCAAAUUUGCCUUUUAAAAAAAAAAAAAAAAUCUUAAUGUAUGGACUUAGAAUUGUCUUGGUCCCUCAUAUAUACAACUUAUGAAAAUGAUCUUUAAGUAUGUUAAAAGCUUAUCACUUUACUCUUGAGCCCCACAAACCUAACGACACCCAAAAAAAAAUCUGUCAAACUAAACGGAAGCCUCCACACGUUCCAUCUUCUUCCAUUAAUCAAUGGUCAAAAGUUCUCUUUCCAACCAAAACCCAUAAAACUAACUUGAAAGAACAGUGGGGAAAGUUCAAAUUAAGGGUUAAGACUCGAAGAGAACUACAUAUUUAUGUCAAUACCUUCAAUGGAGUAUGGAAGGAAGCGUGAAAUGUUUUCGAUUGGAUUAAGUAGAUUGUGUAGAGGAUGAUGCGAUGAACUUAUAAGUUCGAUGCAACCAUGAAGUUCUACUCGAAAUCUGGGAGAAUAUAUUGGGUGUGUAAGUCCUGUGUUAUGAGAAGUGAGAUCUUGUAAAAAAUUUCAACGGAAAGAUGAUGAGUUGAUGUAAGAACCAAAUUUGUCUAAAGUUGUUGAGUAGAAUCUCCGCAAAGAAAAGGUGGAAGCCUAUGAAGCUGCCGGGAAUCAAGCAAGCCAAAGAAUGAUGGACAAGGAGAAAGAACCGACAUACUACCUGGCUUAAGUUACAAAAUUGAAAGCCGAAUUAGAGAAACUAAAAGUCAAACGAGAAAAUGAGGAACAAGUUGAACAACUUCAAGACUAGGCAGAAUAUGCUAUGGUUUCCUCUUAUUUGUACUUGCAUUGUUGUAGUAUUAUUCUAUAACAUUCAAGGUGAUCACUUGAAGGCCAAUGUAUUAAAAUUUCUGCCAAGUCAUUUGAUGUCUUAAUUAGUAGUAUGAUUGUAAUGGUUUGGCAUGUGAUGUAAACCUUUUCUGGGAUUGUAUUAAUAGUAUCAAUUCAAAAUCUCGUUUGGUUGAACUUUUUAUGAUGAAA